AACGAACGCUGGCGGCAGGCCUAACACAUGCAAGUCGAGCGAGGACUUCGGUCCUAGCGGCGGACGGGUGAGUAACGCGUGGGAACGUGCCCUUUGCUUCGGAAUAGCCCUGGGAAACUGGGAGUAAUACCGGAUGAGCCCUUUGGGGGAAAGAUUUAUCGGCGAAGGAUCGGCCCGCGUUGGAUUAGGUAGUUGGUGGGGUAAUGGCCUACCAAGCCGACGAUCCAUAGCUGGUUUGAGAGGAUGAUCAGCCACACUGGGACUGAGACACGGCCCAGACUCCUACGGGAAGCAGCAGUGGGGAAUCUUCGACAAUGGGGGAAACCCUGAUCUAGCCAUGACGCGUGAGCGAUGAAGGCCUUAGGGUUGUAAAGCUCUUUCAGCUGGGAAGAUAAUGACGGUACCAGCAGAAGAAGCCCCGGCUAACUCCGUG
rnacentral:rRNA from 1 species